GAUCAUGGCUCAGGAUGAACGCUAGCGGCAGGCUUAACACAUGCAAGUCGAGGGGUAUGCCGAUUUAUCGGGCAGAGACCGGCGCACGGGUGCGUAACGCGUAUGCAAUCUACCUUAUACAGGGGAAUAGCCCAGAGAAAUUUGGAUUAAUGCCCCAUAGUGUUAUCGAAUCGCAUGGUUUGAUAACUAAAGUUCCAACGGUAUAAGAUGAGCAUGCGUCCCAUUAGUUAGUUGGUAAGGUAACGGCUUACCAAGACAAUGAUGGGUAGGGGUCCUGAGAGGGAGAUCCCCCACACUGGUACUGAGACACGGACCAGACUCCUACGGGAGGCAGCAGUGAGGAAUAUUGGUCAAUGGGCGCAAGCCUGAACCAGCCAUGCCGCGUGCAGGAAGACGGUCCUAUGGAUUGUAAACUGCUUUUAUACAGGAAGAAACCCUCCCACGUGUGGGAGCUUGACGGUACUGUAGGAAUAAGGAUCGGCUAACUCCGUG
rnacentral:rRNA from 1 species